GACGAACUGUGCAAACGUUAUUCGGAAUCACUGGGCUUGAAGAGUGCGUAGGCGGUUUCGUAAGUAGGGUGUGAAAGCCCCCAGCUCAACUGGGGAACUGCGUCCUAAACUGCGAGGCUGGAGUGAGGUAGGGGUGUGUGGAACUUCCGGUGGAGCGGUGAAAUGUGUUGAUAUCGGAAGGAACGCCGGUGGCGAAAGCGACACACUGGGCCUUGUCUGACGCUGAGGCACGAAAGCCAGGGAGACAACGGG
rnacentral:rRNA from 1 species